UGGGGAAUAUUGCACAAUGGAGGGAACUCUGAUGCAGCGACGCCGCGUGAACGAAGAAGGCUUUCGAGUCGUAAAGUUCUUUUAUAUGGGAAGAUAAUGACGGUACCAUAAGAAAAAGCCCCGGCUAACUACGUGCCAGCAGCCGCGGUAAUACGUAGGGGGCUAGCGUUGUCCGGAAUCACUGGGCGUAAAGGGUUCGCAGGCGGAAAUGCAAGUCAGGUGUAAAAGGCAGUAGCUUAACUACUGUAAGCAUUUGAAACUGCAUAUCUUGAGAAGAGUAGAGGUAAGUGGAAUUUUUAGUGUAGCGGUGAAAUGCGUAGAUAUUAAAAAGAAUACCGGUGGCGAAGGCGACGUACUGGGCUCAUUCUGACGCUGAGGAACGAAAGCGUGGGUAGCAAACAGG
rnacentral:rRNA from 1 species